rnacentral:miRNA from 1 species
GAUCUGCAGAGCCCACAACUAG